rnacentral:misc_RNA from 1 species
CGCUACGUUAUCUCAAUCUAUCAAUCACUUCGUGACAUUUCCCCGGUAUAUAGGCGCGAUGGAAGUGGGCGGUCUUACCACGGCGACCUUUGACCCUUCGGAGCGCUGCCUUGCGCCUUGUCUUAUACACUACCUGCUGCAACGCGGUGCACAACACUCGUUCGACGUUCCUUUUUCACGUUCCUUUUUCUUCUUCUCCUUUUUCGUCCGCUUUGUUUUUUCUUUUUUUUGAAUGCCGUAACAAGCCGCUGAGCGUACGCCGCGUACGUUACACACCGGUUCGAAUAAACGCGAACGGCGAGGGGCACGCGAUAGGGGUGGGUUCGGCUAAACGGUCGUAGAAAAUAUUCAUCCGGCGCGCGUUCCUAUACGUUACGGAUCUUGGCGCAGUCUGGUACACGCCACGGUGAAAAGUGCGCAUCAAAACAACGGGGAGUAGUAACUACCUACAUGAACUGAGUAGCAAUUAAUUAAGUCGGUAUCACCGCGCGAUGCUGUACGCCAGAAGGCGGAGAGGCUCGACGCGGCGUUCCCGCGGUGCGGAGGUAUGCAUAGGCGAUGCGAUGACGAAUGGAUAUAACCGGG